rnacentral:misc_RNA from 1 species
CUUUUUUCUCUUAACUCUACUCUCAUUCUCCAAAUACUCAGUGCUGAUUUAGGCAUCGGAGUGGUGGUCAACUAACCUACCCAGUGCUUUCUUGUUUUGCAAAUCCAUGCUCGUGGAGAUUCCUAUGACAGCAUGAAGGAUGAACCAUAAAAUAAAUGUUGCAACACCGUAUGGGGAAGAAACAAAGAUAAAGUGGAUCAUAGGGGCAAAACUCUUCCAAAUCGAGGAUAAGAAAACAACGAGGAUGCCUGAGGAAGUCCUAGCAAAGCCAUUGCCUAAUUGGUAAACCCACAAACGGCAAGAUUAAGCAAUCCAAAAGGAAAGACAUGAAGUACCAAAGAGAAGAAGACCGUAUAACCUAGAUCACCAUUGCUGGCAAGGUCAACAACUCAUGGAGGGUGAUGAGGAAGAGCUCAAAAUGGCAAUAAAAACCUUAAGGGUCAAUCAUGAAGGCAAAGCUGACUAAAGGACCCUUGAGAUGCCAUUAUUUAAAAAUGUAUUCCUCUCUUAGAGCUAAAACAUGACACAUAUGGAAGAAUCUCAUGCGAGAAAUUCAACCAAAGAAACAAGCCUCAACAUAGUAGACCAAAAAGAUGUCCU